rnacentral:rRNA from 1 species
GCGAUCCCAGGUCAGGCGGGGCUACCCGCUGAGUUUAAGCAUAUCAAUAAGCGGAGGAGAAGAAACUAACGAGGAUUCCCUUAGUAGCGGCGAGCGAACCGGGAGGAGCCCAGCAUGAAAAUCGUUCGCCGUCGGCGACCGAAUUGUAGUCUGGAGAAGCGUCCUCAGUGACGGACCGGACCCAAGUUCACUGGAAGGUGGCGCCGGAGAGGGUGAGAGCCCCGUCGUGCCCGGACCC